rnacentral:rRNA from 1 species
GACGAACCUCACAAACGUUAUUCGGAUUUACUGGGCUUAAAGGGUGCGUAGGCGGCGUGGAAAGUUGGGUGUGAAAUCCCUCGGCUUAACCGAGGAACUGCGCCCAAAACUGCCAUGCUCGAGGGAGACAGAGGUGAGCGGAACUUAGGGUGGAGCGGUGAAAUGCGUUGAUAUCCUAAGGAACACCAGUAGCGAAAGCGGCUCACUGGGUCUCUUCUGACGCUGAGGCACGAAAGCUAGGGUAGCGAACGGG